CCUACGGGUGGCAGCAGUGGGGAAUAUUGGGCAAUGGGCGCAAGCCUGACCCAGCAACGCCGCGUGAAGGAAGUAGGCCCUCGGGUUGUAAACUUCUUUUAACAGGGACGAAGAACGUGACGGUACCUGUUGAAUAAGCCACGGCUACCUACGUGCCAGCAGCCGCGGUAAUACGUAGGUGGCAAGCGUUAUCCGGAUUUACUGGGUGGAAAGGGCGUGUGGGCGGGAGAGCAAGUCAAACGUGACAUUCCAGGGCUCAACCCUGGAACUGCGUUGGAAACUGUUCGUCUUGAGUGAGGGAGAGGCAGGCGGAAUUCCGUGUGUAGCGGUGAAAUGCGUAGAUAUACGGAGGAACACCAGUGGCGAAGGCGGCCUGCUGGACAGUAACUGACGCUGAGGCGCGAAAGCGUGGGGAGCAAACAGGAUUAGAUACCCGUGUAGUC
rnacentral:rRNA from 1 species